CAUGAAUUAUUAUAGGCAGUGGAUGUCGGAUAAGUAGGGGUCCCCGUCCCCCCUUUUUUCUUAUUCUCUAUACCCUAUUACCAUUAAGAUCCACGCUCUCCUAAUUUCUAACACUCUGUUUGGGAGACGGACCAAACAUACGGCACAUGCUAGAUAAGUGAUGGUGGAUUGCGCUCUGAUUCUAUUGCUAGGCAGAGAAAGCACAUCUCAGGCUACGGGUUUAUACCUCUACCCCAGCUGAUUCCCGUCACUGAGCUAUUCAACUCUCAUGCAAGUGGCUUCCUCCUCUACAUCCCUGCCUACAAGUAAAAUUGUGAUGCCUCCUUUAGAUCUAGCGAUCAAGCUUUAUGUAUGGCUAUCAUAUGAAGAUUCUGUGCUUCUCCUUUGAUUGCAAGAAGCUUGUGCUUUUUGAUGAAUCAGUAAGAAGAGACUCGAUGCAGCGGAGAUUAAGAGAUGUUUGAACAAGGCAAUGAGGAAGCUACUGUUUGGAAUUUAAGAAGAAACAUUCUCUAUGAUUUGCGAACAAAUGAGACUUGAAGCUUAAUCUAAAUUUCUUACGAAUACUUUUUCAUUUUCUUAUUUAUUUGUUUUAUUGAAUUUAAUCAUAGUUUGGGCUUAUUGUAGUAUAGCCCACACUUGGACUUCGUGUGGCAAAAAAAGGGUGCGACUAUAAACUUAAAUUGUUAUAGUGUUUGAAGCUGUUCAUAUA